UAAUUUAGGUAAGAUAGCCUUAAACUUUAAUCUGAGAAACUCAAACAGAGCAACAGCAAGAAAAACAAUUCUGAAUGUCCAGCUUAGUCUUGUGGUUCUCAAAAAAAGUACUUCAGAAAUAAUCAUGCAUCUUUCAUCUACCCUAGUUUAAUUUUUUGAGCCCUCUUCAUCCAGUUAGUCACCAAAUCAAAACCUAGUAAAAAUUAUGGAUUCAUUUGUUCUGUCUUUCUUUAUUCUUAGAAAGGCAAUCAAAGACUAGCACAUACUGGGAAACAAAUAUAAAUGAAGCUUUCUGGGAAAUUACAAACAUAAAGAUAAAUGAUCAAAAUGUGAUUGCAACCCAAACUCCACUUUAUUUCUUCCAAUAUCUCUUCAUAAAAAACUUGAGAAAUUCAUCAAAAAAGGUAUUUAGAAAUGUUAGUACCAAUGGAAACAGGUUAACCAAAUGCCCACUAAAUUACGAAGGGAAAAGAUUAGUGUAUUCAUUUUUGCACCUCCAAUUUCUGGUGCAGAGUAGGUAUUUAAUAAACAUAUAUUGAAAUAUUAAUAGUCAAAUAAAGUCUAUUUAGCCACAUGAAUUAGUAGUGAAACUUCACAAUGCCCACAGCUUCCCGUAGAAAAAAUAGGCAAAAACUUCUGGAGAUAGAAACUGAUGUCAUCUUAGCAUCAUCUGCUAGUUUCUGCAACAAAGUGCUUCUAAAUCAGAUCUCUGCGUCACAGUAAAUGCAAAAGAGCUUUUUCGUUUUUACUGAACUUCAAACCCACAGGACUUCAUUAGUUACAGCAACAGCAUAUUCAUCAUCCAUCCUCAUAUGUAUGGCCUGCUUUUAAUUAAUUACUACAGUGCUACUAGCAUCAGUGACUUCACCCAAAACAAGAGUCAGGAUUCAGACAAGAACCUACAUGCAACCUAUCUGAACUGUCCCCUCCUCCCCACCCUCAUCCCAUUCAAGUGAUUUCCCCUGGCCCGGGUGAGCAGCAACCUGAAACCCAUUCACAUGAAUUUCUUACUCUCUUCCUUUUGUAUAAUUUUCUUUACAUAGGUUUACUGCAUCUAUUCCUUAAAAGGUGUAUAUACUUUUAAUUUUAGUUGUUUAAAGCACUUAUAAAAAUACCAUAGUUGAUUCAUUCAUUCUCCCCACAACUACCACUAAAUGUAACAAAUGCAUUGACAGCCAGGACUUGAACUUCAUUCAUGCUGAGAUGUUAGUUAGAUGAUAUAACACAUUUUUAUCAUGAAGCCUUGUGCCAGGUAAUAAAAAGUAGCACUUUCUAACAUUUGGAUAUACCUCGAGAAGCCAGGAUCAAAUGCAAAUACAAACAGCGGACUUUUAUAACUUAAAAUACCUGCUAUUUACUUCUUUUUUAUUGUAACACCACCUUUUGAUCAACAUAUCUUUCAUAUAUGCUCCAUUUAAGAAGAAACACAGCAAACAUGGUUAGCUAGAAGAACGAUGAUUUUUCAAGAUUCUAUCUAAGCUGGCAAAGUAUGUUUUUUAAACACGCCCACUGGCAGAAAAAAAAAUGUGGAAGCAGUCGUCUCAGAUGUGUCCCAACCGCUCAUCUUUCAAGUGCAUCUCUGAAGCCUUUGGUGACUACUACUCACACAUAAAACUAUCGCCAAUUUGUUUCCCUGCAACACAGUGGGACCAGGGCAACUUUUACUUGUUAUGCCUCUUACAGGUUGUUGACACAUGAUUCUCUUACUAUACCAUAAGCUCCCUAAAUGUACGGGCUGCUUCUGCCUUCAUCCUUGUAUCUCUUGCUUAGCACCAUGCUUCAAACAUUGUAAGUGCUUUAUAAAUAUUUUCUAAAUAUAUCAGUGAAUGGAUAGAAAAUUAACACACUCCUAUUUAAAUCACAUUAUUAUAAAUCAGUAAGAUCUGUAGAUCUGCCUUUUAAAGAUAUCAACUUAUGGUAACUGGGAUUUGAUACAACUAUGGUAGAUUUUAAAUAGCAUACUAUAAUUAAAGGAACAAAAAGUACUGCAACCAUAUGAUUAAUGUCAAUGUCUGAGAUCUGAGCACCUCAAGAAACAAGCUUGGUAGGAGGCUCUCAUAUUACUAAAUAGGUCUUCAUGUGCCAUGAG